GACGAACGCUGGCGGCGUGCCUAAUACAUGCAGGUAGAACGCUGAAGGAGGAGCUUGCUUCUCUGGAUGAGUUGCGAACGGGUGAGUAACGCGUAGGUAACCUGCCUGGUAGCGGGGGAUAACUAUUGGAAACGAUAGCUAAUACCGCAUAAGAGUAGAUGUCGCAUGACAUUUGCUUAAAAGGUGCAAUUGCAUCACUACCAGAUGGACCUGCGUUGUAUUAGCUAGUUGGUGAGGUAACGGCUCACCAAGGCAACGAUACAUAGCCGACCUGAGAGGGUGAUCGGCCACACUGGGACUGAGACACGGCCCAGACUCCUACGGGAGGCAGCAGUAGGGAAUCUUCGGCAAUGGACGGAAGUCUGACCGAGCAACGCCGCGUGAGUGAAGAAGGUUUUCGGAUCGUAAAGCUCGGUUGUAAGAGAAGAACGAGUGUGAGAGUGGAAAGUUCACACUGUGACGGUAUCUUACCAGAAAGGGACGGCUAACUACGUG
rnacentral:rRNA from 1 species